rnacentral:rRNA from 1 species
AGUGAACGCUGGCGGUAGGCCUAACACAUGCGAGUCGAACGGCAGCACAGUAAGAGCUUGCUCUUACGGGUGGCGAGUGGCGGACGGGUGAGGAAUACAUCGGAAUCUACUUUUUCGUGGGGGAUAACGUAGGGAAACUUACGCUAAUACCGCAUACGACCUACGGGUGAAAGCAGGGGAUCUUCGGACCUUGCGCGAUUGAAUGAGCCGAUGUCGGAUUAGCUAGUUGGCGGGGUAAAGGCCCACCAAGGCGACGAUCCGUAGCUGGUCUGAGAGGAUGAUCAGCCACACUGGAAGUGAGACACGGUCCAGACUCCUACGGGAGGCAGCAGUGGGGAAUAUUGGACAAUGGGCGCAAGCCUGAUCCAGCCAUACCGCGUGGGUGAAGAAGGCCUUCGGGUUGUAAAGCCCUUUUGUUGGGAAAGAAAAGCAGCAGGUUAAUACCCCGCUGUUCUGACGGUACCCAAAGAAUAAGCACCGGCUAACUUCGUG